UAGGGAAUCUUCGGCAAUGGACGGAAGUCUGACCGAGCAACGCCGCGUGAGUGAAGAAGGUUUUCGGAUCGUAAAGCUCUGUUGUAAGAGAAGAACGAGUGUGAGAGUGGAAAGUUCACACUGUGACGGUAUCUUACCAGAAAGGGACGGCUAACUACGUGCCAGCAGCCGCGGUAAUACGUAGGUCCCGAGCGUUGUCCGGAUUUAUUGGGCGUAAAGCGAGCGCAGGCGGUUAGAUAAGUCUGAAGUUAAAGGCUGUGGCUUAACCAUAGUACGCUUUGGAAACUGUUUAACUUGAGUGCAAGAGGGGAGAGUGGAAUUCCAUGUGUAGCGGUGAAAUGCGUAGAUAUAUGGAGGAACACCGGUGGCGAAAGCGGCUCUCUGGCUUGUAACUGACGCUGAGGCUCGAAAGCGUGGGGAGCAAACAGGAUUAGAUACCCUGGUAGUCCACGCCGUAAACGAUGAGUGCUAGGUGUUAGACCCUUUCCGGGGUUUAGUGCNGGUAGCUAACGCAUUAAGCACUCCGCCUGGGGAGUACGNCCAGCAAGGUUG
rnacentral:rRNA from 1 species